rnacentral:lncRNA from 1 species
AUUUAUAAAUAUUAUAAAUAUUAUAUCUAACAUAAUGAGUAUCUAUAAUAUAAUAUAUUAUAGAUACUCAUUAUGCGUGUCUUCUCGUGCGUUAUAACGCACGUAAUUUUAAUCCUCGUGUGGGACAUUAGGGGGGGUCUUAAAAACUCGAUUCUCUUUACUAAACAUCAUCAUACAACAAGUUUUUAUCCUGGGGUGGGUACCCUUUUAAGGCACUUCUUACAUCAAGCAACAAACACAAACACCAAACCUCCUGACCUCCGAACUCGACAACUCAAACUCAACAACUCAAACUCAACAACUCAACUCCUGACCUCCGAACUCAACAACUCAACUCCUCAACUUUCAACUCAACCUACCCAUUCCUUGUUCCUAUUUCCAAAUUUCCUAGUUCCGAUUUCCCUCUCCUCUAAUUCCUAGUUUCAGUUUCGACCCUUCUCUUCUCCCCUCCGUGGUCCCCUUGCCGGAUCGGGGACCACUUCGGCCUCGCUUCGCUCCUUUUCUCUCAAGGUUUCUCAAAAAAGAAAAAGAAAUUACGUAAGUGAGCACAGAAACUUCUACCUUCAUCCGAAGUGGGAGCUCUAAAGGCUGUGCUUGGGGUAUCUUUCGAGAAUUGAUACCCCGGGGAAGUGGUAUUGGUGACACCACUUCCCUAUGCCCAUGUUGACCGACGUUGGCUCCAUACGGAGGGAACGGGGGAUUCUUUUGGUUGGGGAAUGUUUUUUGCUUAACACAUCAAAUCACAAAAAAACAUCCCCCUUAAGAAUCCCCCUCCGGUGGUGAAACAGAGAGAGACUGGCCCUUUAGGGACCAGUCUUUCCUUUAAUAAAUAUAACUCUCUCUAUUAUAAUAGAGAGAGCUAUAUUUAUUAUGUUAAUAAAUAGAUAUCUCUAUAUUAUAAUAUAGAGAUAUCUAUUUAUUAUGUAUUUAUAUAUUAUAAAAAUAUAUAAAUAUUAAAUUUAAAUAUUUAAAAUAAAUAUUAAAAUUAAAAAAAAAUAUUUAUAAAUAUUAUAAAUAUUAUAUCUAACAUAAUGAGUAUCUAUAAUAUAAUAUAUUAUAGAUACUCAUUAUGCGUGUCUUCUCGUGCGUUAUAACGCACGUAAUUUUAAUCCUCGUGUGGGACAUUAGGGGGGGUCUUAAAAACUCGAUUCUCUUUACUAAACAUCAUCAUACAACAAGUUUUUAUCCUGGGGUGGGUACCCUUUUAAGGCACUUCUUACAUCAAGCAACAAACACAAACACCAAACCUCCUGACCUCCGAACUCGACAACUCAAACUCAACAACUCAAACUCAACAACUCAACUCCUGACCUCCGAACUCAACAACUCAACUCCUCAACUUUCAACUCAACCUACCCAUUCCUUGUUCCUAUUUCCAAAUUUCCUAGUUCCGAUUUCCCUCUCCUCUAAUUCCUAGUUUCAGUUUCGACCCUUCUCUUCUCCCCUCCGUGGUCCCCUUGCCGGAUCGGGGACCACUUCGGCCUCGCUUCGCUCCUUUUCUCUCAAGGUUUCUCAAAAAAGAAAAAGAAAUUACGUAAGUGAGCACAGAAACUUCUACCUUCAUCCGAAGUGGGAGCUCUAAAGGCUGUGCUUGGGGUAUCUUUCGAGAAUUGAUACCCCGGGGAAGUGGUAUUGGUGACACCACUUCCCUAUGCCCAUGUUGACCGACGUUGGCUCCAUACGGAGGGAACGGGGGAUUCUUUUGGUUGGGGAAUGUUUUUUGCUUAACACAUCAAAUCACAAAAAAACAUCCCCCUUAAGAAUCCCCCUCCGGUGGUGAAACAGAGAGAGACUGGCCCUUUAGGGACCAGUCUUUCCUUUAAUAAAUAUAACUCUCUCUAUUAUAAUAGAGAGAGCUAUAUUUAUUAUGUUAAUAAAUAGAUAUCUCUAUAUUAUAAUAUAGAGAUAUCUAUUUAUUAUGUAUUUAUAUAUUAUAAAAAUAUAUAAAUAUUAAAUUUAAAUAUUUAAAAUAAAUAUUAAAAUUAAAAAAAAAUAUUUAUAAAUAUUAUAAAUAUUAUAUCUAACAUAAUGAGUAUCUAUAAUAUAAUAUAUUAUAGAUACUCAUUAUGCGUGUCUUCUCGUGCGUUAUAACGCACGUAAUUUUAAUCCUCGUGUGGGACAUUAGGGGGGGUCUUAAAAACUCGAUUCUCUUUACUAAACAUCAUCAUACAACAAGUUUUUAUCCUGGGGUGGGUACCCUUUUAAGGCACUUCUUACAUCAAGCAACAAACACAAACACCAAACCUCCUGACCUCCGAACUCGACAACUCAAACUCAACAACUCAAACUCAACAACUCAACUCCUGACCUCCGAACUCAACAACUCAACUCCUCAACUUUCAACUCAACCUACCCAUUCCUUGUUCCUAUUUCCAAAUUUCCUAGUUCCGAUUUCCCUCUCCUCUAAUUCCUAGUUUCAGUUUCGACCCUUCUCUUCUCCCCUCCGUGGUCCCCUUGCCGGAUCGGGGACCACUUCGGCCUCGCUUCGCUCCUUUUCUCUCAAGGUUUCUCAAAAAAGAAAAAGAAAUUACGUAAGUGAGCACAGAAACUUCUACCUUCAUCCGAAGUGGGAGCUCUAAAGGCUGUGCUUGGGGUAUCUUUCGAGAAUUGAUACCCCGGGGAAGUGGUAUUGGUGACACCACUUCCCUAUGCCCAUGUUGACCGACGUUGGCUCCAUACGGAGGGAACGGGGGAUUCUUUUGGUUGGGGAAUGUUUUUUGCUUAACACAUCAAAUCACAAAAAAACAUCCCCCUUAAGAAUCCCCCUCCGGUGGUGAAACAGAGAGAGACUGGCCCUUUAGGGACCAGUCUUUCCUUUAAUAAAUAUAACUCUCUCUAUUAUAAUAGAGAGAGCUAUAUUUAUUAUGUUAAUAAAUAGAUAUCUCUAUAUUAUAAUAUAGAGAUAUCUAUUUAUUAUGUAUUUAUAUAUUAUAAAAAUAUAUAAAU